CCACUUCCUUGGUGAUCAAAGGCAAGAUCUAUUUUCUUUAUGCUGUUAACCUUAGGCGGGGAGACUGGGGGAUCUUCAUUUAUAUUUUAAAAUUUGAUUCACUCUGCAGUUUGUCUCCUGUCUAUGUAUCCUUUUGAGAAACCGUUUAUGAGUGAUCAUUCUUCCAUCAGAUUGAACAGGAUCCAGGGGGAAGUACCAAGCCUGUCCCAUCGGCCAUCCUGUGUGUCAUGUCCUGUGACCCAGUGGAUGCUCAGCAUCCUCCAGCUGAAGAAACAGAUUGCCUUAGGUACAUGAAAGGUGAGGACACCUACUAUCCCCAUGGAGCCCAGUUGGGCCUGGGAGUCUGCUGUUUGUACAGCCGGUGGGCUCGUGUUGCUUUGGGCAUCCCUGUGCCUGAAUUCCUGCAGUACACUCGGUGCCUGUUUCCUAAUCUGCAAAACUGGAAUGAUGUUAACCAUCCCGCAGGUUUGUUGAUGGGCUGGGACACACUAGACAGCCAGGAGCUGGAAUUCCUCUGUGCCCUGAUUGUUAUCCUUCCUUCACACUAUUUACUCUCACAAGUUCAGUCUCUCUGUCUCUCUCUCAUUCACUUGUAACUUUCUCUCCUGCUCUGGUUUCAUUUGAUUCCCACCCUCCUCCCAAUCCCCAGAUGAGUGAAA